GUCUGGUGGAAAGCAGACUGAACCAGGUUAUUGUCCUGCUGAAAGGUGAAUUCAUCUCCCAGUGUCUGGUGGAAAGCAGACUGAGCCAGGUUAUUGUCCUGCUGAAAGGUGAAUUCAUCUCCCAGUGUCUGGUGGAAAGCAGACUGAACCAGGUUAUUGUCCUGCUGAAAGGUGAAUUCAUCUCCCAGUGUCUGGUGGAAAGCAGACUGAACCAGGUUAUUGUCCUGUUGAAAGGUGAAUUCAUCUCCCAGUGUCUGGUGGAAAGCAGACUGAACCAGGUUAUUGUCCUGCUGAAAGGUGAAUUCAUCUCCCAGUGUCUGGUGGAAAGCAGACUGAACCAGGUUAUUGUCCUGCUGAAAGGUGAAUUCAUCUCCCAGUGUCUGGUGGAAAGCAGACUGAACCAGGUUAUUGUCCUGCUGAAAGGUGAAUUCAUCUCCCAGUGUCUGGUGGGAAGCAGACUGAACCAGG